rnacentral:rRNA from 1 species
GGACCCGCACAAGCAGCGGAGCGUGUGGUUUAAUUCGAUGCUACACGAAGAACCUUACCUAGACUUGACAUUUGCUGAAGUGUCUGGAAACAGGCACGGCCCGUAAGGGACAGCAGGACAGGUGCUGCAUGGCUGUCGUCAGCUCGUGUCGUGAGAUGUUCGGUUAAGUCCGAGAACGAGCGCAACCCUCGGUGUUAGUUACAAGUGUCUAACACGACUGCCUGCGACAAGCAGGAGGAAGGUGGGGAUGAUGUCAAGUCAGCAUGGCCUUUAUGUCUAGGGCUACACACACGCUACAAUGGCGCGUACAAUGGGUCGCGAAGCCGCGAGGUGGAGCCAAUCCUAAAAAGCGCGUCGUAGUUCAGAUUGUAGGCUGCAACUCGCCUGCAUGAAGUCGGAGUUGCUAGUAAACGCGAAUCAGCAUGUCGCGUUGAAUACGUUCCCGGGUCUU